rnacentral:lncRNA from 12 species
AACCACCAACUCCCUCAUUCUCUUCAAACUAAUCUGGUAAUCCAUCUUAAUCUUCUCAGGUUUAUGAGAAAUGAGAUCUUGCCACCCAAAUUACUGAGGACUACAGAAAUCACUAAUGAAGGAGAAGGACUUGAGUCUAGAAAUUUCUUAGUCCAAAGCCUAUUGUGGGCAACAAGGAAAAAACUUAUUUAAGAAAGGAGAAUGAGUUUGUUCCUAAGGUAAGAAAACCAAUACGCCCAGUUAUUGAGAGCCAAGAAAGGCAGAGAUGGAGGAAAUUAGAUAAUGAGCUAAUAUUCAUCCCUAAUUUACAUUUGCUUUCAUGCAUAGAUUUGUCUGUCUUUCCAUUCUGUCCUAUGGGACUCCAUUCUACUAAGUGCAGACUUUAUACUUUCUCAAAACAUUUUCUCAGCUCUAGUUUUAUUAAAAAUCUGCUUAUAAGGGUGCCUAGGUGGUGCAGAGGUUAAGUGUCCAACUCUUGGUGUCAGCUCAGGUCGUGAUCUCAGGGUCAUUAGAUAGAGCCCCACAUUGGCCUCCACAUUCAGUGCAGAGUCUGCUUAAGACUCUUUCUCCUUUUCCCUCUGCCUCUCCCCACCCUAUGCUCGCACACACACUCUCUCUCUCAAAUAAAUAAAUACAUAUAUUUUUUUAAAAUGUGCUUAUUUAAUGAUAACACAGUGCUAUCCUGUACCAUUUUCUAUGUAAUGUUCACUUCACUGACACACUUAGACAUUAGCAAAGGAGCCCCAACUUACGCACUAAAUAUUAGAGGAACCCAUUGAACUUUCUUUCAUCUGUCCUUUCAGUGGGUUGAGAUAUCUCUGGGGCCAAGUGAUAUACUUGUGCCUUCCCUCUCAGAGCACACUCAGGUCCCAAGGAAAACAGAACUUCAUGUUCCCUGCAGAGACCACUUCCUCUGGCCAUACUCCAAAAGUGCCUACCAUACUGCUAGUGUGUACAACUCUAGGCCCAAGGGGAUGGCCAGGAAGUGGUUGUAUGUGGAGAGUGAGGGCAAAGACUACAAAAGUGGGCUAAGAAUAGGAAGAGAAAAAGAGGUGUACACCAGAAGCCAGCAUGAAACUCCAAGGAAUUCCAGAAUUAUAAUUGCAACUGGGACAAAAGCAUCAAAGAUAAAAGGUGAUUCUAGUCCUGAAGAGCAGCAUCAGAAGAAGAUUGGCCCUCUCACUCUCCAGGAACUAUUAAUCUUUCUUUACCUUCAGUUGCCUGUGAAUAGAAAACUCUACAGAUAAUCUGAUAACACAAAACUGAGGGAUAGCCUGAGUAAAUUAUUUUGGCAUAUUGAUAUCAAGAUUAUACCUGUAUGUAAUCUGGAUUUGCUGAUAAAGGUCGGGCUUAAUAUUGGCUGACUCUAAGUAGUCUAGAGUUUUAAUACCCCUACAUACUAGCCAAGGUUAGAGACAGAGGAGAAAAAAAGCCCACAAAGCAACAGCAUCCACUGGAACGUUUUCAGUCAUCAGGAGGGGAGCAUGCAUGUUCAAUUCAUUCAGAAACUCAAGAAGCAUAAAAACCAAGGCAAUUGUGGUGUCAGCUGCAGAAUGUUGUAUGUUCAUCUUUCUGCUUGAUGUAGUAACCAAUUAAAUGAGCUAUCCAGGGGCAAUCAGGCUUUGUGAGGUCUUAAAGUUUUUAAGAUUUAAACUAAAGUUUCAAUAGCUUUACGGAAACUUUAUCUGCUGCCAAAGGAGCAUAAAGAUGCUUGAGAAAACUCUAUUAUCAUCUUCAACUUAUUAACUAGAAUGAAUAACUCCCAGUCAAGAUGGCAACAUUUUUGAAAGGAAGCUGGAGAGUAAAAGGGAGAUUGGAUAGGAGUGAAAGGGAGCUUCUUAUAAGGUUUAUUCUUAGUAGUGUGUUGGAAUCAGCUCAUACAAGCUCACAGGAGCCAGUUAUUAAAUUUUAAGGAGUUUUGUGCUGGGGCUAAUGUCACACUGGUAGCUUGAAAUCUACCAUGAUGGGAAUAUUUAUAACUUGAAAAUGACAAAUGCUUUGAUUUAGGAAUCUUUCCUUCUAAGGAGUCAGUUGAUAAUAUCAGCACAUCACUAAUUUUAUCGGAAUGCAAAACUACAAAAUUACUAACUGGAAACUACAACAGAAUUUAGGGAAAUAAAACUGUAUGAGUAUGAGUAGCCUGUUAUACC